AUUUUAUUCUUUGUUUAAAAAACAACCCUAAAUUUUGAGAACCCCCCCUUUUGCUCUCCCCUCUGCUCCUCGCUGUAUGCCAAGCCUUCAACUUCUCCGAAAACCGCUUGCGACCAAUGAAGCAGGGCCCUCCAGUGGUGCGAGUGCGACGCAACUCCGCUAUGGCAAACGUGGCUUGGACAUGGUGCUUGGGUGCGUGGUGUGAGGUGGUGGAGAACGUGAGUAGUGGCGGUUGAAUGUGGGCACAUGAUGACUGAAGGGAGGCAGCAAAUCUAGGGUUUCCCUCUUUGCUGAAAAAAAAAUGUGGGUCAUUGGGCUCGUAAUAGGGCCUUUUAAUUUUAGUGAUUUGGGUUUAUAUCUUGGACCGGUAAAAUUUAGGCCCUACAAUAUAAAAAUAAAACUUUAUAUAAAA